rnacentral:rRNA from 2 species
UUUAGCGGCCAUAGCGGCGGGGGUACUCCUGAACCCAUUCCGAACUCAGAAGAUAAGCCCGCCCACGUACUGCACUGUACUGUGCUGCUCGCGCGCACGGGAACUGCAGUUCGCUGCUAAAC